AGUCUGACCUGCCCUAUGAUGAAAAUUAAAUGGCCGCGAUAAUUUGAUCGUGCAAAGGUAGCAUAAUAAUUAGUUUCUUAAUUAGGAACUGGUAUGAAAGGUCGAACGAGAAAAAAACUGUCUCAAUUUAAUUUUAAUUAGAAUUUUAUUUUUAAGUUAAAAAGCUUAAAUAAUUUUAAAAGACGAGAAGACCCUAUAGAGUUUUAUAUUUAUUUUUUUAUUUUUUAUUUAAGAAUUUUUAUAAAAGAUUAAAUUAUAAAUAUUUAGUUGGGGUGAUUGAAAAAUUUAAUAAACUUUUUUUAUUUAUUAAACAUUAAUAAAUGAACAUAUGAUCCAUAAUUUAUGAUUAAAAGAUUAAAUUACCUUAGGGAUAACAGCGUAAUUUUUUUUGAGAGUUCUUAUCGAAAAAAAAGUUUGCGACCUCGAUGUGGG
rnacentral:rRNA from 1 species